rnacentral:lncRNA from 1 species
CACUUGCAGUGCUUCAAUAAAUGUCAGUUUCGCCUAAAGGGCGAAGCAAUGAAUGUGAUAGCAAGAACUUGGAAUGUCACAGGAGGAACGGCUGCACGCUGCUCAACCACAAAGGACACUGGUAAAAAAACACACC